CAGAACUGCCUGAGAGUCAACUGGCUUUAAAAGAAUCUCUUCUGAGACUUCCCAACCACUUUCCCUGUCUCCAAACCCACAAGGUGUGAGCUGCUGGAGGCACACCUUGGUUUGCAGUCAAGCUCUGAAAAAGAAGAAAGGAAUCAAGUUUCAGAAGGAAAAUAGGUGAAGGCAAGUAUUAAUUUUAUGCUCAUGGUGUAAAAGUUCUCAAAGGAAAGAAAGAUAACUAGUCUGGUAGCUUACAAAGGGAGUUCAAAGAAGACCAUUCAUUUCUGGUUCAUUAAGACUAUGCUUACAAGGAAAUUACCUAUAUAAAGCUAGAAAUGGUUAACAAUAUGAAAUGCUGUGCACAGCCCAAGAAAAUUUAACCUUAAGAGCAACUUAAUAUAUUGUGCUCAGGGUCAGACUGAAAAUAAAACAGGAAGUGGGGAAAAAAAUUAGAUGCAAGUAAGCUGCUAAUUAUGUGGGGUUUUCCUAAGGUCAUUAUGUGUUUUUCAGUUUAUGCUUAUAACUGUGUUAGAUCUUUUAGCUCUCUGAGAAGACAGAAGAAUAUUUAAUA